rnacentral:rRNA from 1 species
AGAGUUUGAUCCUGGCUCAGAACGAACGCUGGCGGCGUGCCUGAGACAUGCAAGUCGUGGGAGAAAGUCGUAGCAAUACGGCUAGUACACCGGCGCACGGGUGAGUAACACGUGGACAACCUGCCUUAGAGUCUGGGAUAACCCGUCGAAAGACGAGCUAAUACCGGAUAAGACCACGGGAAGUUCGCUUCCUGAGGUAAAAGAUGGCCUCUGCUCCUGCAAGCUAUCACUUUGAGAGGGGUCCGCGUCCUAUCAGCUAGUUGGCGAGGUAAUGGCUCACCAAGGCUAAGACGGGUAGCUGGUCUGAGAGGAUGGUCAGCCACACUGGGACUGAGACACGGCCCAGAGUCCUACGGGAUGCAGCAGUCAGGAAUAUUGCGCAAUGGAGGAACCUCUGACGCAGCGACGCCGCGUGGGUGAUGAAGGCCUUCGGGUCGUAAAGCCCUGUCGGAGGGGAAGAAAAGUCUGUUGGCUAAUAUCCAGCGGACCUUUGACGGUACCCUCAAAGGAAGCACCGGCUAACUCCGUGCCAGCAGCCGCGGUAAGACGGAGGGUGCAAGCGUUGUUCGGAUUGACUGGGCGUAAAGGGCGUGUAGGCGGUUGGUUAAGUCGGGUGUGAAAGCCUGGGGCUCAGCCCCAGAAGUGCAUCCGAAACUAGCCAGCUAGAGCGCGAUAGAGGAGGGUGGAAUUCCUGGUGUGGCGGUGAAAUGCGUAGAUAUCAGGAGGAACACCGGCGGCGAAGGCGGCCCUCUGGAUCGUUGCUGACGCUGAGACGCGAAAGCGUGGGGAGCAAACAGGAUUAGAUACCCUGGUAGUCCACGCCUUAAACGAUGGGUACUAGGUGUUCGGGGUGUUGACCCCCUGAGUGCCGCAGUUAACGCAUUAAGUACCCCGCCUGGGGACUACGGCCGCAAGGUUAAAACUCAAAGGAAUGACGGGGGCCGCACAAGCGGUGGAGCAUGCUGUUCAAUUCGACGCGACGCCGAAGAACCUUACCUGGGCU